rnacentral:lncRNA from 1 species
CUCCUUCUCUUUCAAAUAAUGGCGUCAAGAUUUCCACUGGAAUGUUAACAAAAUUUUCCGCGAGUGUUCUUGGUAAUUUUUCUAACGGUACAUACGACUACAGAAUUAACAGUCUGUCCAGGUCUAGCUAUGUUCGGAUGUGCUGACAAGCUUGCAACCAUGGUUUAAUCCAAUUCAGUCGAUACUUCUUUUUAAGAUUACGUUCUUGUUCCUCUCUAAGCAAGUUUCUUCCUUGCGCUCUUUCCUGUCUUUCUCUCAACUGAUUUAUUUUCCUCGAUGCAAUGCUCUCGUUCUUAUUAACCAUAAUCUUGUUUCAAAUACUACUGAAAUCGUCUUCUAUUGCCAAUUUUCUCACACUUUUGGUAAUUAAUUCCUAACACUCAAAGCUAUUAUCACUCCCCGGUAGUGGCGCCAAAAUGUGAUUGCUCGUUUUACUUAUUUCAGAAGGAACCUCCCAGCAUAAAUCCGUAUGAGGGGAUUCGAAUACGGGGAAUGACUAGUAGCUUAAGCGUUCACGUUAGGGUCACACAAUCAAUUACUUCCUGAAUAUAUCGUCUCUAUUUCUAAUAUCUGAAUACACAAGGAAACUAUAAUCUCCUCCUUCACCUUAUCAGUCUCUUCUUUACAGCAAUUCAGUCAUACCAAUAACUGCUAUUUCCACCAAUAUAUUCACCAUCAUAAUCUCCAACUAUAAUACUACGCCCUCACAGCUUUCAGCACACAAUUACCCUCGUUUCAAUCACUGGAAUUCUUCACACAGAACUGCCAUUCACAUUACAGUGUUUCACACAAACACAGACUCAUUCUCU